CUCAGAGCCUGUAACUCUAAACUGCUCCUGGAAAUCCCUUCUUUCCAGGGGGAAUUAAAUACCCUAGUUUUAAAUGUGGAGACACCAGAAGAAUGCCUUGAAGAUUAUCUCAUGUGAAUGUCCCAAGUGUGUAAGGUAAGUUAACAGAACCUGAGGACAUGAAGCAAGCUCAAGAUCAGCUAAUGCUCUGAUGGCUCUGGGAAAUUCACUAGCCAGAGCUUCUUUGGGUCAUUUUGCCAAGGAACAGCAGGAAGUCAGUGACUGGAAGUCAGUUUCAUACCACAUGAGGCUGAGGACCAAGAUGAGGCCGGAGGUGGUGUGUGCUGGCUCUCAGUUGGUGAGGAAUGAUGCUCUGUCGCUAAGCCUGGACUUGGUGUGCUGAGAAUGCCACCCCUUACUGAGUCUAGAAGCCACGGCUGCCAUAACUGCAGAUCCAGCACAGGACUUUCAUCAUCUUUGAACUCAAAGACACUCAAAAAAUGCUGAUUCAUUACCUGACAUUUAUUUUAUUAAUGAGGAAGAUUUAAAGAAGAUGGGUUUUUGAUGAAUUUCUGUUACAUUAGAUUACAAGAUCUUUAUUGCUGGUGCUCUAAUGAAUAUAAAAAUACAACCUGUUGCUAAUAAAGUGCCUCUUUUUCCAUAGCCACUCAAUUUUUGUGUUAUUUGAGUGUAUUUGACUCUCAAGACUAGAUUUAAAUU
rnacentral:lncRNA from 1 species